CUUCUUUCAACUCCAUUUCUCCAUUUCUCUCUUUCUCGUUUCUCUCCCUUAUUCCAAUUUUCUCCCUCCUCAUGGACAUGCUCUGCGAUUCUCACUUUCUUCAAGUUCGUCCCUUCGAAUUUCUUCAAUUUUCGCCAAGUAAGUUUACAAUUGUUAGAUUUCUUAUUCAAUUAUUUUCCAUUUUGAUUGUUGAAAUUUGGGUUUCGAAAUUCUUUGUAUUGUGUUCCGCGAUUUUGAUGGAUAAAUUUAGGGCUUUUAAAAUUGUGGUUUUGUUUCUGUUUUUGCUACUCCGAUUGCUAUAUUAGGGAUUUUAAUUGCUAUCUUGUUUUCGUUUUUGCAAUUUUCAUUGCUAAUUCAAAGCGUAUUUAUAAUGAGGUCCUAUGUGAAUUCUUCAAUGCAAUGGUUGUUUCAAUUUGGCUUCUCCGAUUGAAAGGGCAGCAAGCAACACUCAGUAAGUUUGCUAAGAGUAUCGAGUCUUUGACCGGCACUCUGGAAGAUUCCUAACCAUUGCGGGCUGAACUACUUGUCUCAAUUAAAGCCAGACAUUGUACAGCGCGUGUAUGGCACAUCGCUGUAACAUCCAUUACGAUUAUUAGUUAGAAAGGGCGGCAUAGUUUCGCAAGUCAAGGGCAAGGUGACUUGUGGCUGACUCGAUACCUGAAAUUUUUUGAGUGGUGCAAGAAGAUAAUUAGAAGCGCAUACAGAAAAUAACAUCGUAUUUUUAGAUUUAUAUUUUAAAAUGAUAAUUUUUUUCUCAUCUUAAUAAUUCGUCAUUUACUUAUUUUAAUUUGAUGUAAAGUCAUGUCGUUCGACAAUCAGAUUUUUGAGAGGUACUAAUUAUGUAAUGACUUAAGUUAUUUGUAGAUACAUUUUUUUUGGUGUUAAUAAUACCAAUAUUGAUUUUCAUC